CUGGACUUGUGGCAAAACGUGAAAAGAACGUGUAAAGGACUCCUCGUCUAAACUGACUGAUACUGGCCCCAAUGUUUCUGCCCGGUCUAUGAAGUUGUCUUGUUUUUUUAAUUUUGUCCACACACUAAUGUGAGGAGAUGCUACACCCUGUUGACCAACAGAAUGGAGCUUUGCAAAAAGUGUCUAAAGUUUUUGUUUUUUAGGGGUUUUUUUAACCCAGACAUUUAUUUUUUCUAAACCUAAUGAUGCAGGAAGGUAACAGCUGAUACUUAGAAGUUGGACAAAGUAAAUAGGAGGUUUUUAUUUUAAAGAUCUGGCACCUUUAACCUAUCUGAUAAACUUUUGCAACUGACUACAGGCUUUUGUUUUAGUUUUUAGUUGUUUUUUUUUGUUUUGUUUUGUUUUUCUGUGAGAUGGAAAAAAAUAAUCCUUUUGAAUUCCUAUAACUAUCCCAGGGUUUUUAUUUCGAAAACCAGACACCACUGUGGUCGAAUAACUUUAUGUGUCUAAAUAAGAGAUUUUAUGUUGAAAAGCUGCCAGAGACCAGGUGCUUCUGUGCUGCUGUCUGUUGUCCAGCAGUAUGUGUCUGUGAGAAAGACUGACCAAUCUGUCUUAUAGAAGUCUAUGGGAAAACAGUCCUCACUGGCUAAGUGACCUUAGUAAACUUUCCUGAUGCAUUUAUGGGCUUAAUCACUGAUUUUAAAACUUUAAGACUUAAUGAAUAAAAUGUGAAGUUAAUGUUACAAAUUAUGGACCCAAAUUAUAUAGUCUCUGACUAUAACAGUGAAAACUGAGCCAGGGGCUCUGCUGCUGCUCUCCACUCAGCUUGCCAAGCUUCACCCUUCAUUAAGAAAAAAACGGCACGUCAAUAAAAAUGACAAUGACAGACAGGUAGUAAAUGUAAAGGCAACAGCCACAGUGACCUCUGGUCACUAAGGGAAAAUGUGUAUUCCUUGACUAGUUAGUGAGUGGUUGUUGGGUCGCAAAUAGGGUUAAGCACUAAAAACCUCCUUGUAGUUGUUUUGGUCACUAGCAGAUUGCCAUAGUUGUCUAUAAGAAGCAUGGAAGACCCCAACUUGUCUGCAAACACUUGCU
ensembl:lncRNA